rnacentral:rRNA from 1 species
GGUUACUGCUAUCGGUGUUCGCCUAAGCCAUGCGAGUCAUAUGUUCUUCGGAACAUGGCGUACUGCUCAGUAACACGUGGAUAACCUGCCCUUGGGUCCGGCAUAACCCCGGGAAACUGGGGAUAAUUCCGGAUAACGCAUAUAUGCUGGAAUGCUUUCUGCGUAAAAUGGAUUCGUCUGCCCAAGGAUGGGUCUGCGGCCUAUCAGGUAGUAGUGGGUGUAAUGUACCUACUAGCCGACGACGGGUACGGGUUGUGAGAGCAAGAGCCCGGAGAUGGAUUCUGAGACAUGAAUCCAGGCCCUACGGGGCGCAGCAGGCGCGAAAACUUUACAAUGCGGGAAACCGUGAUAAGGGGACACCGAGUGCCAGCAUCAUAUGCUGGCUGUCCGGGUGUGUAAAAUACACCCGUUAGCAAGGGCCGGGCAAGACCGGUGCCAGCCGCCGCGGUAACACCGGCGGCCCGAGUGGUGAUCGUGAUUAUUGGGUCUAAAGGGUCCGUAGCCGGUUUGGUCAGUCCUCCGGGAAAUCUGAUAGCUCAACUAU